rnacentral:rRNA from 1 species
CCUACGGGUGACAGCAGUGAGGAAUAUUGGUCAAUGGGCGUAAGCCUGAACCAGCCAAGUCGCGUGAGGGAAGAAGGCUCUAUGAGUUGUAAACUGCUUUUGUAGGGGAGUAAACGCCGGUACGUGUCUCUGUCUGCACGUAUCUUACGAAUAAGGCUCGGCUAACCCCGUGCCAGCCGCCGCGGUAAUACGGAGGAUUCGAGCGUUAUCCGGAUUUAUUGGGUUUAAAGGGUGCGUAGGCGGUCGGGUAAGUUAGCGGUGAAAGCCUGGGGCUCAACUCCGGACUUGCCUCUGAUACUGUGCGGCUGGAGUGUAGGUGAGGUAGGCGGAAUGUGUGGUGUAGCGGUGAAAUGCUUAGAUAUCAUGCAGAACACCGAUUGCGAAGGCAGCUUACCAAGCUACGACUGACGUUGAGGCACGAAAGCGUGGGGAGCAAACAGGAUUAGAUACCCGUGUAGUC